UGCUGGAGGUAUCAGAAGUGCGAAUGCUGACAUAAGUAACGAUAAAGCGGGUGAAAAGCCCGCUCGCCGGAAGACCAAGGGUUCCUGUCCAACGUUAAUCGGGGCAGGGUGAGUCGACCCCUAAGGCGAGGCCGAAAGGCGUAGUCGAUGGGAAACGGGUUAAUAUUCCCGUACUUGGUGUUACUGCGAAGGGGGGACGGAGAAGGCUAUGUUGGCCGGGCGACGGUUGUCCCGGUUUAAGCGUGUAGGCUGGUUUUCCAGGCAAAUCCGGAAAAUCAAGGCUGAGGCGUGAUGACGAGGCACUACGGUGCUGAAGCAACAAAUGCCCUGCUUCCAGGAAAAGCCUCUAAGCAUCAGGUAACAUCAAAUCGUACCCCAAACCGACACAGGUGGUCAGGUAGAGAAUACCAAGGCGCUUGAGAGAACUCGGGUGAAGGAACUAGGCAAAAUGGUGCCGUAACUUCGGGAGAAGGCACGCUGACACGUAGGUGAAGUGAUUUACUCAUGGAGCUGAAGUCAGUCCAAGAUCCCAGCGGGCUGCACCUGUUUAUUAAAACCACAGCAC
rnacentral:rRNA from 1 species